CAGCAGCCGCGGUAAUACGUAGGGGGCGAGCGUUGUCCGGACUUAUUGGGCGUAAAGCGCGCGCAGGCGGUCCCUUAAGUCUGAUGUGAAAGCCCACGGCUCAACCGUGGAGGGUCAUUGGAAACUGGGGGACUUGAGUGCAGAAGAGGAGAGCGGAAUUCCACGUGUAGCGGUGAAAUGCGUAGAGAUGUGGAGGAACACCAGUGGCGAAGGCGGCUCUCUGGUCUGUAACUGACGCUGAGGCGCGAAAGCGUGGGGAGCAAACAGGAUUAGAUACCCUGGUAGUCCACGCCGUAAACGAUGAGUGCUAAGUGUUAGAGGGGUUAAACCCUUUAGUGCUGUAGCUAACGCGUUAAGCACUCCGCCUGGGGAGUACGGCCGCAAGGCUGAAACUUAAAGGAAUUGGCGGG
rnacentral:rRNA from 1 species